GAUGUUAGUCUGACUUCAACGGAACUUGGCUCUAAUACCACUUAUUGGAUCGAGAUCCGAGGCUAUAAGGGGGGAUACUAGCCUAUUUUCGAUUUAUACAGGUUGAUUGCGGAAUUAUCUGUAAAUGCUUAAUAAACAAAUGGUUGAACAAUAAUGAUAUAAAGAUAUUAUAAUUUUGAUUGAUAUAAUAUUGUAAUUAUUACUCUUCGAAGCUUACCACAGUAUAUGAAUACUGAGUCAACUUGCUUGAUAGUGUUUUACACACAACUAUAGUAUAUGAAUACUAAGUUAUAUUGUAAACACAAAUUGUAUUGUAGAGUAAAUGACCAGAUAACUGGAUAUAUUGAUAAGCAAGUAAAUGACCAGAUAACUAGAUAUAUUGAUAAGCAAGUAAGUGACCAGAUAACUAGAUAUAUAUGAUUAGUAAUACUUGAACAAAUAUAAGGAUUUAAAGCAAUGAAUAUAACCUCAGAUGGUUGACCAGAUAACUGGAUGAGGGAUCUACGUAAAGUAGUCAACCUCUGUAUUUGACCAGAUAACUGGAAGAGGGAUCCUUUUUAAUCAAGUGUUGUUUUUAGAUAUUUUAGAUAAAAGAUAAAACUAUAAUUAACAGAGAACAACACAAGAGAUUUAUACUGGUUCACCCAAACAAGGGCUAGUCCAGUCCCGACCAACUGCCGGAAUUCACUCGCCUAAAGGUUAUGGCAAAACCUUAGAGUAUCAAGGAAACUCUUAAGAACCUCUCUAAGCUUUAAGGCUACUUCGCAUAGGAACCAGUCUUUUACGGGUAGACUCACACCUUAGAGUAUCAAGGGCACUCUUAAGAACCUCUAACUUUUGCGGGUAAGUUAGUACCUUAGAGUAUCAAGGAACUCUUAAAAACCUCUCUAAGCUUUGAGGCUACUUCGCUUAGGAACCAGUCUUUUACGGGUAGACUCACACCUUAGAGUAUCAAUGGCACUCUUAAGAACCUCUAACUUUUACGGGUAAGUUAGUACCUUAGAGUAUCAAGGAACUCUUAAAAACCUCUGAAAUCUUUAAAGGUAAACUCGACCUAAGAGUUUUCCCGGAAACUCUAUAAAACCAAACUAGAGCUUUAUGGUUGAGCUCAAAAACCUUCUCUCACACUUUGGUACUAUUGAGACAACCCUCUCAACCAAAGUGGACACACACAAGAGGUGAUUACAGGAGUAGAAUAUUAAAGCAAACAACACUUCUUACUUGUAAAGAUGAACAAGAAGAUUAGAAGAAGAAGUUGGAGAGCUUUGGAAAGCUAGGACACUUGAGCACUUGAAAGCUUGGAAGCUU
rnacentral:lncRNA from 1 species